UACGUAGGCAGCGAGCGUUGUUCGGAAUUACUGGGCGUAAAGAGUGUGUAGGCGGUGCUCUAAGUUCGGUGUGAAAUCUCCUGGCUCAACUGGGAGGGUGCGCCGGAAACUGGAGUGCUUGAGCGUGGGAGAGGAAAGCGGAAUUCCUGGUGUAGCGGUGAAAUGCGUAGAUAUCAGGAGGAACACCUGUGGUGUAGACGGCUUUCUGGACCAUAGCUGACGCUGAGACACGAAAGCGUGGGUAGCGAACAGG
rnacentral:rRNA from 1 species